CUUAGUGGCGGACGGGUGAGUAACGCGUGGGUAACCUGCCUCACACUGGGGGAUAACAGUUAGAAAUAGCUGCUAAUACCGCGUAAGCGCACGGUUCCGCAUGGAACAGUGUGAAAAACUCCGGUGGUGUGAGAUGGACCCGCGUCUGAUUAGCCAGUUGGCGGGGUAACGGCCCACCAAAGCGACGAUCAGUAGCCGGCCUGAGAGGGUGAACGGCCACAUUGGGACUGAGACACGGCCCAAACUCCUACGGGAGGCAGCAUG
rnacentral:rRNA from 1 species